rnacentral:lncRNA from 1 species
CCCCGUGAUAUGGCCGUCAGAGCAGUCGGAGAUAACCACAUAUCUCAGCGUUAUCUCGUCACAUUCUGGGUUGCAUGAGCUGGGAGAGACUGCCAUACUCGGAUAUAGUUAUAUAGAUCAAACAUGACCACGGGAAUGUUUUAUCCGGUUGUCGUCCUGGUCCUUCUAUGUAGCCAGACAUUUGAUAGCACAUUGGCUGCAACAGAUUCAGUUACAAUGAGUACUAUGACAACUGCCUCGGUGAACCCGACCACUACCUCGCUGAACCUGACAACCAUGGAAACAUCAGAAGCCGCCACAAAUGGGACGACACCAACAGCUGUUACCGGAUCCCACCCAACUAUUGUUACUAGAACAAACCCUACUAAUGUUGCUGUAACCCACUCGACGCCCCCCAAUACCACCAUUCCAUCUAGUGCCGGGCUUACUUCCGUAUCGCCAGCAUUAUUCCUUAUGUCCAUUGUCCUAUCUCUCGCUGUAAACAAAGCACGCCAAUGGUAGCUUACUUUCGUGACACUUUUAUAUUAUAAUGUUGUUUAAACAUGUUCUUUCUCUGAUUAACUGAAACUUAUUUUUCGUUUGUAAUGUGUUUUUUAUGUUUGUAAUAUGAGUCAUCGAUCAAUUCUAUAUUAUCAUAAAUACCGGUAUUGUAUACAACGCGCGAUAACCUGUAUCAGACUCUGUGUUUAGUGGGCACUAUCUGAUAACGGAAGGGAGUCAUGUCAUGUCUCGUGCAGCGUUCUCUGUACUUAUGUACGUUAUCUGUACUGAAGUAAAGACAGUACACUAACCUUCGACACUACCGGUUAGAUACUGCCAGAUAGCGGUUAUAGUAUGUAUACAUUAUAGGAUAUAUAGAACAGUAAAUGAUAUAAUCCUGCAAGCCGUAAUUCUGGACUGAGGGAUGGAGCUGUGAUGUUUAAAUGUGUACCUUUGCAGUUUAAGCUGACCAUGGUUUAUCAAUCAGGUUAUCAAUAGCGAAAUUAGUCAUAUGUCAUCCGAGCAAUAUCUAUAUUUAAUUGUUAUCUGGGUAUCAAUUUGAUAUCGCCUCACUAGAUUGUCCCUUCGUUUAACAUUGUGAUACUAUUCGUAUUUAUCGAUUUCACACUCUGUCUUUGGUAUUCAUUUGUUGUAUUGUUUGGAUCUAGAACAGUACACACCUUAACCACGAAGUAUCUUUCAUUCUUGCUUCAUUACCAUGUUUGUCCCUCCGAACUUGAUCUUUAAAACUUAAACUGUUCCACCUUCUACCAACCGUUAUUCGAUCACAAGUCAUUCAUUAAGGCUAAUCUUUGAGUUUUGAGUUGAAGAACCAUGACGAAUUGUGUAUAUGUGACGCAUAAUACAAACUAUCUUCGAAAAUAUUGCACGAUUCCCGAGUCUUCCCAUGUAUUUUCUAAACAGGCUACAAUCCGCCAGAAAGGUCAUGUUCGUGACCUUGUUAAUACGUAAGAGUGUACUCGUCUACGUAGUAGUUAUACAAAGUCAUGGUAAAGGCAUGGGUUUCUCUGUUAAGUUUAAUCAUAGUUUCCCUGUUGUCGUGAAUAAGAAACGGUUCUAGUUAAAACAUGAAUUAUAAUAGAACAUUGCAUUUUGAUCGGAUUGAAACAUUCCAUCUCGAUGAGUUGAAUGAUAUCUCGAUGCAUUGAAUGAUAUCUCGAUGCGUUGAAUGAUAUCUCGAUGCGUUGAAUGAUAUCUCGAUGGCGUUCUGUUUCUAUAUCUGAUACAAGAAUUUGGUACGCUUCUAUACAAUAUAUAUGAGGUUGCGUUAGCCGUGCCUUACGAUUCACUAUAUACAAGUGGCGUUUCACUAAAGGGCGAAAUUUAAGUAUUUAUUUUUAAGGUGACCUUAUUGAUAUAAUAAAGCAUUCAAAGUUGAAAAUUUUGAUACAGAACAAUAAAAAAAAAUAUUAUACAUAUUACAUAUUUUCUAUGUCUUUUCUUCGUAUAAAGUGACAUUUAAUUAAAUAUUUUUGUUUUCUUGGUGCAAAGUGACUUUUAAUCAAAUAUUUUUGUUUUCUUGGUACAAGGUGACAUCUAAUACGUGUAAAUCUUUUUUUUUCUUAGUACAAUAUGACAUUUAAUACAUAUAAAUCAUUUUGUUUCUCGGUUCAA